rnacentral:rRNA from 1 species
GAUGAACGCUAGCGGCAGGCCUAAUACAUGCAAGACGAACGGUAAGUUGAGUAGCAAUACUUAGCCAAGAGUGUCGUACGGGUGCGUAACACGUAUGCAACCUACCCUAUACAGGAGGAUAGCCUAGGGAAACCUGGAUUAACCCUUCAUAGUAUUAUUGGAUGGCAUCAUUUGAUAAUUAAAACUGAGGUGGUAUAGGAUGGGCAUGCGUCUGAUUAGUUAGUUGGCGGGGUAAUGGCCCACCAAGACGAUGAUCAGUAGGGGUUCUGAGAGGAAGAUCCCCCACACUGGCACUGAGAUACGGGCCAGACUCCUACGGGAGGCAGCAGUAGGGAAUAUUGGUCAAUGGAUGCAAGUCUGAACCAGCCAUGCCGCGUGCAGGAAGAAGGCCUUCUGGGUUGUAAACUGCUUUUGCCAGGGGGAUAAAAUUUCCAUGCGUGGAAAACUGAAGGUACCUGGUGAAUAAGCCACGGCUAACUACGUGCCAGCAGCCG